rnacentral:rRNA from 1 species
UGGGGAAUAUUGGACAAUGGGCGAAAGCCUGAUCCAGCCAUGCCGCGUGUGUGAAGAAGGCCUUUUGGUUGUAAAGCACUUUAAGCGAGGAGGAGGCUACUAGUACUAAUACUACUGGAUAGUGGACGUUACUCGCAGAAUAAGCACCGGCUAACUCUGUGCCAGCAGCCGCGGUAAUACAGAGGGUGCGAGCGUUAAUCGGAUUUACUGGGCGUAAAGCGUGCGUAGGCGGCUGAUUAAGUCGGAUGUGAAAUCCCUGAGCUUAACUUAGGAAUUGCAUUCGAUAAUGGUCAGCUAGAGUAUGGGAGAGGAUGGUAGAAUUCCAGGUGUAGCGGUGAAAUGCGUAGAGAUCUGGAGGAAUACCGAUGGCGAAGGCAGCCAUCUGGCCUAAUACUGACGCUGAGGUACGAAAGCAUGGGGAGCAAACAGG